CCCUUAGAUGUUCUGGGCUGCACGCGCGCUACACUGAUGCACUCAUCGAGUUUAUGACCUUGUCCGAUAGGAUUGGGUAAUCUUCUUAAAAUGCAUCGUGAUGGGGAUAGAUUAUUGCAAUUAUUAAUCUUCAACGAGGAAUUCCUAGUAAGCGCGAGUCAUCAGCUCGUGCUGAUUACGUCCCUGCCCUUUGUACACACCGCCCGUCGCUACUACCGAUUGAAUGGCUUAGUGAGCCUUUGGGAUUGGCAGCCAACACCGGCAACGGUAGCUGGCCGCCGAAAACUUAUGCAAACUUGGUCAUUUAGAGGAAGUAAAAGUCGUAACA
rnacentral:rRNA from 1 species